rnacentral:rRNA from 1 species
UACGUAGGUGGCAAGCGUUAUCCGGAUUUACUGGGUGUAAAGGGCGUGUAGGCGGGACUGCAAGUCAGAUGUGAAACCCAUGGGCUCAACCCAUGGCCUGCAUUUGAAACUGUAGUUCUUGAGUGAUGGAGAGGCAGGCGGAAUUCCGUGUGUAGCGGUGAAAUGCGUAGAUAUACGGAGGAACACCAGUGGCGAAGGCGGCCUGCUGGACGGCGACUGACGUUGAGGCUCGAAAGCGUGGGGAGCGAACAGG